ACGAAGGGUGCGAGCGUUGUUCGGAAUUACUGGGCGUAAAGGGCGCGUAGGCGGUUAUGUAAGAUAGAGGUGAAAUUCCAAGGCUUAACCUUGGGACUGCCUUUAUAACUAUAUAGCUAGAGUAUGGUAGAGGUAAGCGGAAUACCCAGUGUAGAGGUGAAAUUCGUAGAUAUUGGGUAGAACACCGGAUGCGAAGGCGGCUUACUGGGCCAUUACUGACGCUGAGGCGCGAAAGCGUGGGUAGCAAACAG
rnacentral:rRNA from 1 species